rnacentral:tRNA from 1 species
UCCCAUAUGGUCUAGUGGUCAGGAUUCCUGGUUUUCAGCCAGGUGGCCUGGGUUCAAUUCCCAGUGUGGGAA